GGGGAAUAUUGCACAAUGGGGGAAACCCUGAUGCAGCGACGCCGCGUGAAGGAAGAAGGUUCUCGGAUCGUAAACUUCUAUCAGCAGGGAAGAACUAACUUUCGCAAGAAAGUCUGACGGUACCUGACUAAGAAGCCCCGGCUAACUACGUGCCAGCAGCCGCGGUAAUACGUAGGGGGCAAGCGUUAUCCGGAAUCACUGGGUGUAAAGGGUGCGUAGGCGGUAUAACAAGUCAGAUGUGAAAGCCCAGGGCUCAACACUGGGAUUGCAUUUGAAACUGUUAAACUAGAGUACAGGAGGGGAAAGUGGAAUUCCUAGUGUAGCGGUGAAAUGCGUAGAUAUUAGGAGGAACACCAGUGGCGAAGGCGACUUUCUGGACUGUAACUGACGCUGAGGCACGAAAGCGUGGGUAGCGAAC
rnacentral:rRNA from 1 species